AGAGUUUGAUCCUGGCUCAGGACGAACGCUGGCGGCGCGCCUAACACAUGCAAGUCGAACGAGCGAGAGAGAGCUUGCUUUCUCGAGCGAGUGGCGAACGGGUGAGUAACGCGUGAGGAACCUGCCCAAAGAGGGGGACAACAGUUGGAAACGACUGCUAAUACCGCAUAAGCCCACAGCUCGGCAUCGAGCAGAGGGAAAAGGAGCAAUCCGCUUUGAGAUGGCCUCGCGUCCGAUUAGCUGGUUGGUGAGGUAACGGCCCACCAAGGCGACGAUCGGUAGCCGGACUGAGAGGUUGAACGGCCACAUUGGGACUGAGACACGGCCCAGACUCCUACGGGAGGCAGCAGUGGGGAAUAUUGCACAAUGGGGGAAACCCUGAUGCAGCGACGCCGCGUGGAGGAAGAAGGUCUUCGGAUUGUAAACUCCUGUUGUUGAGGAAGAUAAUGACGGUACUCAACAAGGAAGUGACGGCUAACUACGUGCCAGCAGCCGCGGUAAAACGUAGGUCACAAGCGUUGUCCGGAAUUACUGGGUGUAAAGGGAGCGCAGGCGGGAAGGCAAGUUGGAAGUGAAAUCCAUGGGCUCAACCCAUGAACUGCUUUCAAAACUGUUUUUCUUGAGUAGUGCAGAGGUAGGCGGAAUUCCCGGUGUAGCGGUGGAAUGCGUAGAUAUCGGGAGGAACACCAGUGGCGAAGGCGGCCUACUGGGCACCAACUGACGCUGAGGCUCGAAAGUGUGGGUAGCAAACAGGAUUAGAUACCCUGGUAGUCCACACUGUAAACGAUGAUUACUAGGUGUUGGAGGAUUGACCCCUUCAGUGCCGCAGUUAACACAAUAAGUAAUCCACCUGGGGAGUACGACCGCAAGGUUGAAACUCAAAGGAAUUGACGGGGGCCCGCACAAGCAGUGGAGUAUGUGGUUUAAUUCGACGCAACGCGAAGAACCUUACCAAGUCUUGACAUCCUGCGACGCACAUAGAAAUAUGUGUUUCCUUCGGGACGCAGAGACAGGUGGUGCAUGGUUGUCGUCAGCUCGUGUCGUGAGAUGUUGGGUUAAGUCCCGCAACGAGCGCAACCCUUAUGGUCAGUUACUACGCAAGAGGACUCUGGCCAGACUGCCGUUGACAAAACGGAGGAAGGUGGGGAUGACGUCAAAUCAUCAUGCCCUUUAUGACUUGGGCUACACACGUACUACAAUGGCGUUAAACAAAGAGAAGCAAGACCGCGAGGUGGAGCAAAACUCAGAAACAACGUCCCAGUUCGGACUGCAGGCUGCAACUCGCCUGCACGAAGUCGGAAUUGCUAGUAAUCGCAGAUCAGCAUGCUGCGGUGAAUACGUUCCCGGGCCCUUGUACACACCGCCCGUC
rnacentral:rRNA from 1 species